rnacentral:lncRNA from 1 species
CCAGCGAGCCCUGCCUGCCGCCUCGGAUGCCAAACCAGCGGGCAGCCCAGCUUCCCUCCCCGCUCCCUCACCCGCUCACCCCUGUCCAGAGCUGGUGCACCCUCGAUGCCAGCGCCUCACUCUCUCAUGCGCGCCCGCUCCGCGCUGCCCGCCAGGAUCAAAUUUUGGCGCCGACCGUCGCAACCGUUAUGGGCGGUGCCUGAUGGCGGCCGGCCCGGCCCGGCGGAGAGGGGCGGUGCCGGGGGCGCCGGCGGAGCGCGGCCGGACGGAACGGUGCCCAGCCCCGGGCACAAAAGCGGGCACGGCGCGCACCCCCGGGCACAAAGGCGGGCACAAAGGCGGGCACCCCAGGCACAAAGAAAAAGAACAAAAGCUGAAGACAGUCCCCUGCACAAAGUUUUCUCUCUUGCUACAUACCUCAUUGCAAAAUCGUCGGGGCAAAAUACCAAAAUUUGCUGUUGUUUCUUAAGGUGGCUCAUAGAAGCUUAGCCACACAAGCUCUCCUUGUGCAGGGAACAGUGAACAUGUCAAGGCACACAGCUGUGUGUGACUGAAGGAGGCCAGCCACUGACUGCAGAUACAGAAGACCCAGUUUUUUUCUUGACUUGUCAGCAGAAGACCCAGUUUUCACCUGCCUGCUCUAAGUAUAAGUUUCUCUUUCUUUUUUCUUGUUAAUUCACUUGGGUGUAAGAAGGGAAGAGGACCUGUGAGGAUAGAAUUAAUGCAAGAAAUUUGUUUGUUUCUGUCUUGUACAGAAAAAUGUUGGUAGCAGUGUGCUUCCAAUUCCAAGCUCCAGUCUUCACAACUAGAGAAGUGUUUUCUUUCAAUGAGUGUCACAGAAAGAGCUCUUGCCUACCUUUGUUUUUCUCACUUGCACUUUGGUUCAAGCUUGUAAAAGUUUAGGUUCAGUAGAUAACCUCAGGUAAUGGGGGCAAUAGACAAAAGUUUUAAAUUUGUUUAUCUAAAGGGAUGUUUUUCCUCCUAAAACUAGUAGAUUUUCCUUCUUUAGUAUUUUUAGAGUGGGAGUUACACAUUUUGCUGGGAUGAUUUCCCACAUGAGGACUUGCUGCCAGCAGGCAGUGGUCUCACAGGUCACAGGAAAAUCUAGAUUGCUAAAACAGUGAGGAGACUUUUCUGACAUUUUAUUAACCUGGUGAUAUUACCACAGAGACAAGCAGAGGCUUUUUUGUGUAAUGGCACAUUACUGAGAUAGGUGUUCUGCCUGAAGAAGUCUAAACCAGUCCCAGGAGCACUGUUGGGCACUGCUUUGACAGGUGUGCUU